AUCUUCUUCUUCUUCUUCUUCUUCUUCCUUGGCUCUGAAGAAGAAUCAUUUUCAAUUCCCUCCUCAAUCUCUCUACUCUUCCGUUUCUUCUUGUUCUCCCCUUGCCCUUCUGCUUCAUGUCUCAUUUCACCCUCAAUUUUCACCCCAUUUCCCUCAAUUUUCAUCCCAUUUGCCAGAACAUUUUCAAUUUUUCGGCCACUUUUCUCCUUCUUAGGCUUCUUUUUCUCACUUGGUUCAUCAAUUACCAUUUUUUCCUCGUCUUCCUCAAAGUUACCAAUCUCAUUCUUCUCCUUCUUCCUCUUGCUCUCUCCAUCCUCAAUAAGACUUUUGCCUUCACCAUCCCCGACAUUACCAACCUCACCCUUCUCUGUCUUCUUCUUGUUCUCAUGCUUCUUUCCAUCACUAUCCCCAUACCCAUGACUCACCUCUUGACUCAGCUCCACAGCACCACGAGUCAAGUUGAAUACACUCGGUUCUAGACUCGACUCGCUGGCACCUUCCACUGCGGUCUCAGACUUGGGUUACACAACAAGAGGGAGUCAUAUCCACCUCCCAUCAGACCUUGUAGUGGGAAGCCCCAAGCUUUAACCAUUGAAAUGUCUCUUUGUUAACUGGUUGAAUGCUCUUAUUGUAAUCAUAUUUGGUAUUGUCUUAUUGCCUUUCCUUAUCCUUUAGAUGAAUUAAAGCCUGGAGAGAUACUUUAAAGGUCAAAUAUUAAAGAGGCUAAGUAGGAGCUAAUUCUUAUCUAUCUUUCUUAUUUUCUUCUGCUGUUUUCUGGUUUCCUCUGUGUACAGUGUAUGAUAGAGCUGCUUUCUUCCUCUUGUUUGACAUAUUUGAAAUGAGUCAUAUUGGCUUGUAGGGCCACCUUUACAUGAUCCCGAGUUUGGAGCUUGAGAUCACUGCAAGACGACAAUUUUGGAGGGCUCUUAAUGGGGCAAACUUGGGUUUUACUAAUUGCUUUAGGAUUAGGACUGGAUGUAGUAUCUAGCCUAUUUAAGUUUUCCCCUUUCCUGUUAUGGGUUUGUAGUAGGUUAGAGGGCCCACACUCAGUUGAACUCUUCUGUGAUGAACUAAGCGCAGGCUGAAACCCAGUAGAAUAGUUUCCAGCGAGCAUUCUAAGCAUUGUACAUAUUCUAUCUGUUUGGAUUGUUUUAGAUGCCAAUAGUUAUUGUAAGACAUUAAUUGUUGUUUUCGAAGUUUGUUAACUACGUAAUUUUAAUUUGAAUUUUUUUAACAUUCUGGAAACGCUCUUUGGCUUGACUUAUGUGGACAACAGAACAAUAAUUUUCAGGGACUACAAUGCACAUGCUGCUGCUGCCUGCAUGAAUCGGCUAGCUAAACUGAGGGAAUCAUGGCUUUUCAAUUGGAAUUGAUGAUGUCCAACCGGGGAAAAGGUUGAAUGAUGAGAAAGCAGUAACAAUUUCAGGAGGUCAUAAGAAAUGUGAUGAAGAGAUACAGAUGGUCAAUGAAGGAAAACUAGAGCCGAAACCUGGUUGUGAUGCUGCUCAAACACUAGAAGCUAAUGUAAGUGCAAUAUUGAAUAAAAUUCGGGACAAAACGGGGAAGGUAUGCAUGAAAGAACUACAUUGGAGAAACAGUCCAUUGAUCAUGUCGCAAUGUGGUUCCAAGGGUUCUGCUAUAAAUAUAAGUCAAAUGAUUGCAUGUGUUGGUCAGCAAUCAGUUGGUGGUUGUCGUGCUCCUAAUGGAUUCAUAGAUAGUAGCCUUCCUCAUUUCCAUAGAGGAUCGAAAACCCCUGCUCACGGCGCUCCAAGCAGUUAUGGGCAUUGAAGGAAUUGAUGGACGGAGGACAUGGAGUAACCAUGUAAUGGAAAUGGAGCAGAUAUUGGGAAUUGAAGCUGCAAGAAAAUGCAUAAUCGAUGAGAUAGCACAAACUGUGGAACAUCAUGGCAGUUAUGGGCAUUGAAGGAAUUGAUGGACGGAGGACAUGGAGUAACCAUGUAAUGGAAAUGGAGCAGAUAUUGGGAAUUGAAGCUGCAAGAAAAUGCAUAAUCGAUGAGAUAGCACAAACUGUGGAACAUCAUGGAAUGACCAUAGACAGACGCCAUAUGAUGCUUCUAGGAGAUGUGAUGACAUUUAGGGGGGAAGUUCUUGGCAUCACAAGAUUUGGAAUCCAAAAAAUGGACAAGAGCAUAUUGAUGCUGGCUUCAUUUGAGAGGACAGCUGAUCACCUUUUCAAUGCUGCUGUUAACGGGAGGCAUGACAAGAAUGAGGGAGUUACUUAGUGCAUCAUCAUGGGCAUCCCAAUGCAGAUAAGCACUGGAAUACUCAAAGUUAUACAGAGAGUUGAUCCACCUCCUAUGCUACGAUAUGGACCAGAUCCAGAUUUAUCUUGAGUUCAUCAUCAUUUUGGAAAUUAUCAAGCGGAAAUUUGUGCAGUCAACAGUAUGCUCUAUGUUGAUUAUGCAUCAGCAUCAUCCAUUCAGAGUUGCAAGAUGUCAAGAGAAGAAAACGCGGCCGCCCCUCCCUUUUUUCCCAUGACAGUCACCAGUAUGGUCGGAGGGCUGUAGCAUUUGAGUGAAAGUUUUGCACUUUCUCGUUUCCUAGAAGCUGGCUGGCUCCUAAUCAAGAAUGCUGUUCAACAUGGCACUUUCUCUGAUCAGAGAAGAGAGGCUGAUUGCAUUUAUCUUAUUAAAAGUCCCAAGAAUCUCAUCAAAUGUGCAAUAUAGGGACCCUUAACUGUUUCCUCUAUGAUUGGAAUAUCUUGUAAGGAGGGCAAUCUCUUGGCGACUUGCCUGUGGUUGCCAUAUAAUAGAUGCUGCAGGCAGUUUCCAAAUGUUGUCCAGUAAAUGAAUUUUGAUAUAACUAGUUCUGAUUACUUUAUGUUUGAACUCAACUUCUUGUACGUGCUGUGCUUCAUGCAAAAGAAGUUUGAACUUGGAUCAAGAUUUGUUACAAGUUUUCUGGGCAUAUAAAAGAAAUGGCAUUUCAACAA
rnacentral:sRNA from 1 species